CACGGCCCCAGGAUACGGCCCCGCCGCCCACCCGGUUGGCGCAGCAGGCAACAUGGCAAACGGAGACGGGCGCCGCCAUCUUUCCGGCGGCCACGUGCGCAGCAUGGCGCAGUUCCUAUAGCAACGACCCGUCGCCAUGUUGCGGUGGCCUCCCCGAGCCUGCGCGGAUGGCGGCGCUGGCGUUGCGGCCGUGCGGGAGAGCCGAGCCGGCGCUCCUCGUAGAGCUGGUCGAGUGUUGGGUCGUCCCUGGCCCGUUUGGUGGCAGGCAUGGAAAUGAGGCAUAAACACAAGGGGAAAAGGAAGUUCUUUUUAUUUUCUCUGCUUGUCUUCAAACUCUCGCUGGUUCCUGCGGUAUUGUGAGAGUUUAAAACUUUUCUCCUUUUGUUUCUGUUUGCUUUCGACUGUGUGCAUCCAGGUGUGGCUGCCUGUACACCAAAACGAGUGCACAGAUAUGUAAAAAGGAUUUGCUAGGACUGAAGGCUUUCAUUCAACAAAUGCAUGUUUCUUACAGAGAGAAGAUAGCUACGUUAAUCACAGAUUAUUACUAUGUUCUGGAUAACUGCCGUAGAAAUCAGAGGAAUCUGCAACUAAGCAACAGCGGAAGUACAAUGGGGUGAUUUGAAUGUGUCUGAGUACACCUAGUUUUCAAGACAGAAGACAGAUCAUAGCAGAUUAAAGAACUCCAUCCAUUA